AUCCCUCUUGCUGUGUUUGGUUGGAGGGUCGUGCACUGACAGUGGGCAGGUUGUUUGCUGGUUGGUGUGUGCUGGUGGAAGCGUAUGAUCGUGUGAGUGGUGUGAGCAUGCUUUUGGGUUCCCUGACUGCGACUGUGGUCAGUGGACACUCACGCUGAUAAUCCUGGUCUUUUUGGGCUUGUGGUUGUUGGUGUGUGGUUGGUGGUUUGAGAACUGGAUAGUGGACGCGAGAGACGCACACCCGGUGUGGUGUGUGUUCUUGUAAUGUGAUUUCUUUUGUAUUGUUUAGUGAUCAUUAUUGUGUGAUGUUGUCUGGUGUCGCUGGAUUUGCUUGUGGGUGACUGUUGUGGUUGCCUGUGUAUGGGCGUAUGGUGGAUGCCUUGGCACCAGA
rnacentral:misc_RNA from 1 species